rnacentral:rRNA from 1 species
UGGGGAAUAUUGCGCAAUGGGCGAAAGCCUGACGCAGCAACGCCGCGUGAGUGAUGAAGGCCUUCGGGUCGUAAAGCUCUGUCGAAUGGGACGAAUAGCCCGCGAAUUAAUACCUCGUGGGAAUGACGGUACCGUUAAAGGAAGCCACGGCUAACUCUGUGCCAGCAGCCGCGGUAAUACAGAGGUGGCAAGCGUUGUUCGGAAUUACUGGGCGUAAAGGGCGCGUAGGCGGCCAUCUAAGUCAGACGUGAAAUCCCCCGGCUCAACCUGGGAACUGCGUCUGAUACUGGGAGGCUAGAGUUUGGGAGAGGGAUGUAGAAUUCCAGGUGUAGCGGUGAAAUGCGUAGAGAUCUGGAGGAACACCGAUGGCGAAGGCAGCCCCCUGGACUAACACUGACGCUCAUGCACGAAAGCGUGGGGAGCAAACAGGAUUAGAUACCCCCGUAGUCCCUGAGCGGGCUGGCAAGGCGCAU